UGGGGAAUAUUGCUCAAUUGGCGCAAGCUUGAUGCAGCCAUGCCGCGUGUGUGAAGAAGGCCUUCGGGUUGUAAAGCACUUUCAGUGGGGAGGAAGGGAGUAAAGUUAAUACCUUUGCUCCUUGAUGUUACCCGCAGAAGAAGCACCGGCUAACUCCGUGCCAGCAGCCGCGGUAAUACGGUGGGUGCAAGCGUUAAUCGGAAUUACUUGUCGUAAAGCGCACGCAGGCGGUUUGUUAAGUCAGAUGUGAAAUCCCCGUGCGCAACCUGGGAACUGGCUCUGAUACUGGCAAGCUUGAGUCUCGUAGAGGGGGGUAGAAUUCCAGGUGUAGCGGUGAAAUGCGUAGAGAUCUGGAGAAAUACCGGUGGCGAAGGCGGCCCCCUGGACGAAGACUGACGCUCAGGUGCGAAAGCGUGGGGAGCAAACAGG
rnacentral:rRNA from 1 species